rnacentral:rRNA from 1 species
AGCGAACGCUGGCGGCAUGCCUAACACAUGCAAGUCGAACGAACCUUUCGGGGUUAGUGGCGGACGGGUGAGUAACACGUGGGAACGUGCCUUUAGGUUCGGAAUAACUCAGGGAAACUUGUGCUAAUACCGAAUGUGCCCUUCGGGGGAAAGAGUUAUCGCCGUUAGAGGGGCCCGCGUCUGAUUAGCUAGUUGGUUGAGGUAAUGGCUCACCAAGGCGACGAUCAGUAGCUGGUCUGAGAGGAUGAUCAGCCACAUAGGGACUGAGACACGGCCCAAACUCCUACGGAAGGGAGCAGUGGGGAAUCUUGCGCAAGGGGCGAAAGCCUGACGCAGCCAUGCCGCGUGAAUGAUGAAGGUCUUAGGAUUGUAAAAUUCUUUCACCGGGGACGAUAAUGACGGUACCCGGAGAAGAAGCCCCGGCUAACUACGUG